rnacentral:rRNA from 1 species
UACGUAGGGUGCAAGCGUUGUCCGGAAUUAUUGGGCGUAAAGAGCGUGUAGGCGGCCCGAUCAGUCCGCUGUGAAAGUCCAGGGCUCAACCCUGGGAUGCCGGUGGAUACUGUCGGGCUAGAGUCCGGAAGGGGCGAGUGGAAUUCCUGGUGUAGCGGUGAAAUGCGCAGAUAUCAGGAGGAACACCAAUGGCGAAGGCAGCUCGCUGGGACGUGACUGACGCUGAGGCGCGACAGCGUGGGGAGCAAACAGG